GGACGAACGCUGGCGGCGUGCUUAACACAUGCAAGUCGAACGGAAAGGCCCUGCUUUUGUGGGGUGCUCGAGUGGCGAACGGGUGAGUAACACGUGAGUAACCUGCCCUUGACUUUGGGAUAACUUCAGGAAACUGGGGCUAAUACCGGAUAGGAGCUCCUGCUGCAUGGUGGGGGUUGGAAAGUUUCGGCGGUUGGGGAUGGACUCGCGGCCUAUCAGCUUGGUGGUGGGGUAGUGGCUUACCAAGGCUUUGACGGGUAGCCGGCCUGAGAGGGUGACCGGACACAUUGGGACUGAGAUACGGCCCAGACUCCAACGGGAGGCAGCAGUGGGGAAUAUUGCACAAUGGGCGGAAGCCUGAUGCAGCAACGCCGCGUGCGGGAUGACGGCCUUCGGGUUGUAAACCGCUUUCGCCUGUGACGAAGCGUGAGUGACGGUAAUGGGUAAAGAAGCACCGGCUAACUACGUG
rnacentral:rRNA from 1 species